rnacentral:other from 1 species
GCACGGCUGCUUGGCUCGUGUUUCCAUUGUCCUCUGAUCCUAAUAGUCUUUUAGGCUUUGGAUACUGAAUACGGUAGGGAGUGCAGGCCCACUUCGCUUCGGCGACCAGGGAAGCCCAAAUAUCGGGUAGGUAUUCCGCUUGAACCUUCUGGGUUCAAGGACGCAGGAUAGCGGCUAUGGCGGUCGUGCC